rnacentral:rRNA from 1 species
UACGGAGGGGGCUAGCGUUAUUCGGAAUUACUGGGCGUAAAGCGCACGUAGGCGGAUCAGAAAGUCAGAGGUGAAAUCCCAGGGCUCAACCUUGGAACUGCCUUUGAAACUUCUGGUCUUGAGGUCGAGAGAGGUGAGUGGAAUUCCGAGUGUAGAGGUGAAAUUCGUAGAUAUUCGGAGGAACACCAGUGGCGAAGGCGGCUCACUGGCUCGAUACUGACGCUGAGGUGCGAAAGCGUGGGGAGCAAAC